rnacentral:rRNA from 1 species
AUUGAACGCUGGCGGCAGGCCUAACACAUGCAAGUCGAGCGGAGCUGCGGACGGGUGCGUAAUGCCUAGGAAUCUGCCUGGUAGUGGGGGAUAACGUCCGGAAACGGGCGCUGAUACCGCAUACUAUCAGAUGAGCCUAGGUCGGAGUAGCUAGAUGGUGGGGUAAAGGCAUACCAAGUCGACGAUCCGUAACUGGUCUGAGAGGAUGAUCAGUCACACUGGAACUGAGAAACGGUCCAGAAUCCUACGGGAGGCAGCAGUGGGGAAUAUUGGACAAUGGGCGAAAGCCUGACCCAGCCAUGCCGCGUGUGUGAAGAAGGUCUUCGGAUUGUAAAGCACUUAAAGUGGGGAGGCGUUCCCAACAGAAUAAGCACCGGCUAACUUCGUGCCAGCAGCCGCGGUAAUCC